UACGUAGGGGGCAAGCGUUGUUCGGAAUGACUGGGCGUAAAGGGUGCGUAGGCGGUGUAGCAAGUUAGAAGUGAAAUACCUAGAGCUUAACUCAGGUGCUGCUUCUAAAACUGCUAAACUUGAGUGCAGUAGAGGAAAGUGGAAUUCCUAGUGCAGCGGUGGAAUGCGUAGAUAUUAGGAGGAACAUCAGUGGCGAAGGCGACUUUCUGGACUGUAACUGACGCUGAGGCACGAAAGUGUGGGGAGCAAACAGG
rnacentral:rRNA from 1 species